rnacentral:rRNA from 1 species
UACGGGGGGGGCAAGCGUUGUUCGGAAUUACUGGGCGUAAAGGGCUCGUAGGCGGCCAACUAAGUCAUACGUGAAAGCCCACGGCUCAACCGUGGAAGCGCAUCCGAAACUGCUUCGCUCGAGUCUCGGAGAGGAAGGUGGAAUGCUUGGUGUAGAGGUGAAAUUCGUAGAUAUCAAGCAGAACACCUGCGGCGAAGGCGGCCUUCUGGACGAUGACUGACGCUGAGACGCGAAAGCGUGGGGAGCGAACAGG